rnacentral:rRNA from 1 species
AGAGUUUGAUCCUGGCUCAGGAUGAACGCUGGCGGCGUGCUUAACACAUGCAAGUCGAACGGAGGAUGUACGGUGAAGAGAUUUCGGUCAAAUCAUGUGCCUCUUUAGUGGCGGACGGGUGAGUAACGCGUGGGUAACCUGCCUUACACAGGGGGAUAACACUUAGAAAUAGGUGCUAAUACCGCAUGAGCGCACAGGAUCGCAUGGUCGAGUGUGAAAAACUGAGGUGGUGUAAGAUGGACCCGCGUCUGAUUAGCUAGUUGGUGAGGUAACGGCCCACCAAGGCGACGAUCAGUAGCCGGCCUGAGAGGGUGACCGGCCACAUUGGGACUGAGACACGGCCCAAACUCCUACGGGAGGCAGCAGUGGGGAAUAUUGCACAAUGGGGGAAACCCUGAUGCAGCGACGCCGCGUGAAGGAUGAAGUAUCUCGGUAUGUAAAGCUCUAUCAGCAGGGAAGAAGAAAUGACGGUACCUGAGUAAGAAGCCCCGGCUAACUACGUGCCAGCAGCCGCGGUAAUACGUAGGGGGCAAGCGUUAUCCGGAAUUACUGGGUGUAAAGGGAGCGUAGACGGUGAUGUAAGUCUGGAGUGAAAGGCGGGGGCCCAACCCCCGGACUGCUCUGGAAACUAUGUGACUGGAGUGCAGGAGAGGUGAGCGGAAUUCCUAGUGUAGCGGUGAAAUGCGUAGAUAUUAGGAGGAACACCAGUGGCGAAGGCGGCUCACUGGACUGUAACUGACAUUGAGGCUCGAAAGCGUGGGGAGCAAACAGGAUUAGAUACCCUGGUAGUCCACGCCGUAAACGAUG